GACAGAGGUGCCAAGCGUUAGGCGGAAUCACUGGGCUUAAAGCGUGUGUAGGCGGAUCGUUAAGUACCUUGUGAAAUCCCACGGCUCAACCGUGGAACUGCUGGGUAUACUGGCGGUCUUGAGCCACCUAGGGGCGAGCGGAACAAACGGUGGAGCGGUGAAAUGCGUAGAUAUCAGGAAGAACACCCGUGGCGAAGGCGGUUCUCUGGGACGGUACUGACGCUGAGACGCGAAAGCGUGGGGAGCGAACAGG
rnacentral:rRNA from 1 species